CAAACGGGAGCGGCAACAGAGUUGGAGUGGAGGACAGAGGUAUUCCCACAUUUCUCGGUCACCAUGGCAACGCUGCAGCAAGAAAGAAAGAGAGACCGCAAGAAGUCCUGUCGGAUGUCAGGUUUUGAGGAGCUCUAUGGAAAUGGAUGUGUGGACGUGAGCCCAUCGCCAGGGUCCAGACUGAAGCCUGUGAGAGCACAUAUCACGAGUUAACAUGCUGCAAAGACUGUGCACCACAGAGAAGGCUCUGGCACUUCCUUAAAGAGCUGUUUUUACUGCACACACACUCACACACGUUGGCUGGUGGACUGGUGUUACGUUGAUGCCUCCACCGGUGUCUGACAGAACAUAUGCUUGCUCUCAGGGAAAAAAAGACAUCUCUUCAUGGAUAGCUGUGCAUGAAAUAGUGUCCCUGGGUAAAUCCUUGUUAUAAAUUACAUCUUGUGUU